rnacentral:rRNA from 1 species
UUUAGCCUACGGGGCGCAGCAGUGGGGGAUAUUGGACAACGGGGGGAACCCUGAUCCAGCGACGCCGCGUGAGUGAAGAAGUAUUUCGGUAUGUAAAGCUCUGUCAGCAGGGAAGAAAGCAGUGACGGUACCUGACCAAGAAGCCCCGGCUAACUACGUGCCAGCAGCCGCGGUAAUACGUAGGGGGCAAGCGUUAUCCGGAAUUACUGGGUGUAAAGGAAGCGUAGACGGCUGUGCAAGUCUGGAGUGAAAGGCGGGGGCCCAACCCCCGGACUGCUCUGGAAACUGUAUGGCUGGAGGGCAGG